AUUGAACGCUGGCGGCAGGCCUAACACAUGCAAGUCGAGCGAGCGGCGGACGGGUGAGUAAUGCCUAGGAAUCUGCCUGGUAGUGGGGGAUAACUGAUCGAAAGAUCAGCUAAUACCGCAUACGAUUGGAGCGGCCGAUGCCCGAUUAGCUAGUUGGUGAGGUAAAGGCUCACCAAGGCGACGAUCGGUAGCUGGUCUGAGAGGACGACCAGCCACACUGGGACUGAGACACGGCCCAGACUCCUACGGGAGGCAGCAGUGGGGAAUUUUGGACAAUGGGGGCAACCCUGAUCCAGCCAUGCCGCGUGCAGGAUGAAGGUCUUCGGAUUGUAAACUGCUUUUGUCAGGGAAGCGGUACCUGAAGAAUAAGCACCGGCUAACUACGUGCCAGCAGCCGCGGUAAUAC
rnacentral:rRNA from 1 species